AAUCGUAAAUCUAAACGACCAGACCUGUCAUUCUUUAGGUUCCCCGAUAAAAAAGAAAGAUGUCAACGGUGGGUCCAGAAUACUCGUCGACAAGAUUUCCUACACCGAACUACGGAGUACUUGUCAGCCAACUGUUGUCUUUGUUCUUUACACUUUGAACUUGACCAGUUUUCCAACAAGCAGAC